rnacentral:rRNA from 1 species
ACCCGCGCCAAUAUGCAAGGUCGAGCGGACCUUUGGAGCUUGCUCCAUUGGUUUAGCGGCGGACGGGUGAGUAACACGUGGGCAACCUGCCCUGCAGAUCGGGAUAACUCCGGGAAACCGGUGCUAAUACCGAAUAGUUUUUUGCCCCUCCUGGGGCGAAACGGAAAGACGGUUUCGGCUGUCACUGCAGGAUGGGCCCGCGGCGCAUUAGCUAGUUGGUGGGGUAAUGGCCCACCACCGAGCGUACCACGGGAAGGGGGACCUUCCA